rnacentral:rRNA from 1 species
CACGUAGGGCGCAAGCGUUGUCCGGAAUUAUUGGGCGUAAAGAGCUCGUAGGCGGUCUGUUGCGUCCGCUGUGAAAUCCCGGGGCUCAACCUCGGAAUUGCCUUCGAUACUGUCAGUCUAGAGUCCGGGAGAGGUGAGUGGAAUUCCUAGUGUAGAGGUGAAAUUCGUAGAUAUUAGGAAGAACACCAGUGGCGAAGGCGGCUCACUGGCCCGGUACUGACGCUCAUGAGCGAAAGCGUGGGGAGCAAACAGG